rnacentral:rRNA from 1 species
UACGAAGGGGGCUAGCGUUGUUCGGAAUUACUGGGCGUAAAGGGCGCGUAGGCGGCGUGUCAAGUCAGGCGUGAAAGCCCCGGGCUCAACCUGGGAACCGCGCUUGAGACUGGCAUGCUCGAGUUCGGGAGAGGAUGGUGGAAUUCCCAGUGUAGAGGUGAAAUUCGUAGAUAUUGGGAAGAACACCGAUGGCGAAGGCAGCCAUCUGGACCGACACUGACGCUGAAGGCGCGGAAAGCGUGGGGAGCAAACAGG